UACGUAGGCAGCGAGCGUUGUUCGGAGUUACUGGGCGUAAAGCGUGCGUAGGCGGUGUCUUAAGUUUGUUGUGAAAUCUCCCGGCUUAACCGGGAGGGUGCGGCGAAUACUGAGAUGCUGGAGUGCGGGAGAGGUAAGCGGAAUUCCUGGUAUAGCGGUGAAAUGCGUAGAUAUCAGGAGGAACACCUGCGGUGUAGACGGCUUACUGGACCGUAACUGACGCUGAGGCCCGAAAGCGUGGGUAGCAAACAGG
rnacentral:rRNA from 1 species